UACAGAGGCCUCGAGCGUUAGGCGGAAUCACUGGGCUUAAAGCGUGUGUAGGUGGCUGCCUAAGUACUUUGUGAAAUCCCACGGCUUAACCGUGGAAUUGCUUGGUAUACUGGGUGUCUUGAGCCACUCAGGGGCUACCGGAACAAACGGUGGAGCGGUGAAAUGCGUAGAUACUGGGAGGAACACCAGUGGCGAAGGCGGCUACCUGGACCGGUACUGACGCUGAGGCGCGAAAGCGUGGGUAGCAAACAGG
rnacentral:rRNA from 1 species